rnacentral:tRNA from 1 species
GGGGAUAUAGCUCAGCUGGGAGAGCGCCUGCCUUGCACGCAGCAGGUCAGCGGUUCGAUCCCGCUUAUCUCCACCA